CAAAGAUCUUUAAUAUACAAAGAUAAAGCAGCACAGGCUUCUACAAUGGAAUGGAAUUGUACACAGUUCCUGCCUCCUAAAAAGGCGUGGUCAGAAUGCGCUGACGCUACCUCGUUGAUGAAUACGUCAAAGAUUUUUCAUUUUCGCGCCUCUCUCUUGCUGCUGUGAUCAACUGGAGCUGGCCUGGGUGACUGAAUUUGGUACAUCGUCGUGGCAAGAUGCGGUCUGAUAUCUAGUUGCUGGACGAGCAGAAGAACGCUAUGGAUGCAACCUGAAGGUCCAAGACUCAAUCCACUGAAGGCUCUCUCUCGUAAGAUGGUGGAUCUGAUGUCUGCUUUGUGGUCCUAUAGGACGACGCCAUGGAUUGGGGUCAGAGAUGCGCCUGAGAAGCGUCCGCUGGUGAAAGACGGAGACAGAACACUCCGGAUACGGCGCCAGUCAUCGUCCUCGACAACAGACACGGCGUCGUUAAGCGGUCCGUUUAUGCGUAGAUUCUGAAGUGAAAGAUGUCUUAUUUUUUAUUAAUGUUGUUGUUGUACAACAAUGUGUGCAAAUACCCUGUGUGAGACUGCACACAAGUCAUGUGAUAUGUGUAAGACCCUCUGUGACAGCAAUAGAGAUAGCAAGCAUUCAACAGUUAAAUAUAUUAGAAUGAUUUUGUUAUCUGCCAAGAUAAAAACAAACAUUACUUUGUUUAUUUUUUCCAACAAUUCUAACCGUACGCACAGUUAAAUCACAAUUUUAAGUUUUAAAUUCCAAAAACUCUUUCAUUUCACAGUACAGUGGUGCUGAUUGAUGAGGCGGAUGUGUAGUAGACCUACCCUUCUGUUGGUGAAGAGCGAAUAGCAUUCUUUCACCAUGACUGUUUUGAUGAUGGUCUUAUCCAACACAGACAGAAUAGGCUGUCUCCCAUCAAAGAUACUAGGAUAGGAGAAUACAGACACUUUAUAAUAAAGCAGUCAUGAAGACUUCUGUUGGGUAUUUUA